CAUGUCCGAUAUUUUUUUGCCGAUUCCGAUACUUUGAAAAUGACGUGAUCGGACCCGAUCGAUCAGCAUAAACAUCUCUAAUUAUAAACUCAUUCCUUGCCAUUGACGGUGGUCGAUGUCCAAACCAUUGAGACUGAGAGGGCGGCAGCGAUCGUCAAUCACCUUCAAUGUCAGUUAAUGACUUUAACAGCAUUUGUAAACAGACAUUUAUCUGAUGAACCUUGAAAAGUGCAGGCAAGUCUGCUUUGGUUAAUGCUGCAAUCAUUGGGAGGAGUUGACAUGCUGUGAUGAAGCAGAUUAAAAACAAGGCGGACACCAUGCAGAGCGGAGGAGGUCCGGGUCGGUACCAGUUGCAAGGCCUGAUUAAUGCCUGACACCUGGGAGAGGAGCGUGGCAUGCAAGAGAAGAAGAAUGUGGAGCUUAUCUGUCAUGAAAUGCCAAGCAGCUCUUCCUGUAUGUUCUACGCAAAGUUACAGAGUACAGGGUACCUCUACUUACAAAAUUAAUUGAUUCUGGAAGCAGUUUCGUAAGUGAAAAUACUGUAAGUAGAGUCACGUUUUCCAUGUAAAUGCCCUCAUCCGUACUAUUUUGUUGUUAGAUCCAGUGUGUCUCCGUCAGAAGUGAUGACGCCAUUUGUAUUGUUUGCAUUCUUGGUUAAUGAGACGUUACGACUUAGCUUACUAAGCUAGUAGUUAGCGAUAAUGCUAAUCAGUGUUUUAAGUGUCCGUUUGUAUUGUGUUUUGGAGAAGCAUAUGAGCACUUGAGUUAUUGUUAGAUAGUAAAGUUGUCUCAUUUAUUUUUACAACAAAGCAAACAAACACAUAAACCCAGUAAUAUAACAGCUUGAGACGUUCGUAAUUAGAGGUACCACUGUACUGUUAACACAAAUUUCAUAUUUUCUGUAUGAAAACCAUUCAGGACACAUGAAAAGGCUCUUCCGAGUGAGCAAAAAAAGCCGACUCAAGGCCAUCUCCUGCCACCGCACCCUCCUUGGGAACCAGGAUGUUGAUAAAAAGUAUUUUCCCCCCUCCACCCAUUGUUCUCUCUUCUCUCCCAUGCUCACCGGCCAGCAAAGACACCGAACCGGCGGGCGUGCAGCUUCUCCCCUCGGCACCUGGACCACCCGUUAUCUUGUAGGAAAUGGACAGGUCACGACCCCUGACCAAAAGCAGAGGAGAGACCAUCUGCAUGGGGUUAGGAAGUCCUGGAGAGGACUGAUAACUCAUGAUGAUUCCUCUUCCUGAUGGCCCAUCUCCAAGUGGCAGAGGUGGAAAGACCAGAGUAUCAUGCUGAGAGACCCACAUCACACCGGUCCGUGGUGCAAGAAAGGUUGGAGACCACUGCUCAAGACCAACCUGGAAGUCUACCAGCUUGUCCGCUCUAUGGUUGUGGUUUUGCCUGUGCAUGAAGGGUGCGUCGCUACGUCACCAUCUGAGUCCUCCAGAGGUUCAUUUGGCGCGCACUGGUCACUUGUUUACGCUGGACGUGAGACCUGGUCAUGAAAAUUGGAUCUGCUGUACGGUGGGAAUCUGCAUGAAAAGUGGGUUACAUAUUAUGGAAAGUGACUUUUUAAUGACUUGUCCGAAACGACUGCCUACCUGUUGAUAUGAUGUGGUGUACACCAUGACGUUUUGCUGUUGACCGUCAGCUGUUAUUAUUCCCGCAGGGAGAGUGUUUGCUGGAAAGUGACAGAUUUUUUGUUGAAAACAAGUGAAUUUGUAUUCAUAAAAAAAAAAAAAAAAACUAAAAGUCACUUACCGACAGUGUUGGGAAUAACGCCGUUAUAAAUAACGCCGUUACAUGACGGCGUUAUUUUUUCAUUAACGGGAUAAUCUAACUAUUUUUUCCGCCGUUACGCCGUUACCGUUACUGACGGUCAAACGCGGUGCGUUACUAACUUUGAAUAAAUUGAAGAAACUACCAGCCGUAGCGAGUGUACUCUGCUGUUUGUUAUCCAAGACUUGGGGUACGUUCAGGUUCAUGGCAAUGAAAAAAGUAAGAACGCAAGAACCAUGGAAUUGCCGUUUGAUACGGUCAUAAUGUGCAGGUCCUGCACCCAUCCGCGGCAAAACUGUUCGUAGCUUUGUAGCGAUUUGUAAUUUCGGAAUCGCUGAUGAGUUAAGUAAAACAUACACCAAACAAUAAAUACAGCAGAAUGUCCAUUUUGCGUAAUUGUGGAAGCCAGUCGACAUCUUUACUCCAUUUGUCUUCGGCUUGCUAGUAAGUAGAGGUGGGAAUCUUUUAGCACCUAAUGAUUCGAUUAUGAAGCGAUUAUUGAUGCCCCCCACCCUUUUUUUUUUAAUGUUUUAUAUAUAUUAGAGCUGAAACGAAUACUUGAGCAACUCGAGUUUAAAAACUGAUCAAAGUAAUUUUAUUCACCUCGAGGAAUCGUUUAAUUUUGCCAGCUCUAAGCAUCCCGUUUUGCCCGGACUACUUUUAAUGCGGGACAACGCGCUGACGUCACGUGCGUAGAGGAAGAAGCAAUAAAACGAAAGAAAAAAUACAGCCUCUUCAAACUACGCCGACGUUGCUAAAAACUACGCACGCAUGAUGCUAAUUUGGUAGCAGGUAGUGUCCGAUGCGUUUCAUAGAUAUCGCAUGCAUUUAGGACUAGAUGCGAAAUGAUAGACUCGGCCACGUCUGGGCAGCGUUGGUAAACAGCCGCCAUCUUUAAGCAGUAGACUUCUCAUCGCUAAUAAAUAUAACGUUACUGUCACAUGCUCACGUAACGUUAGCCCUUCGGAAGGCUAGGUUUCUAUUGAUUAUGACCACUGUCGAUGCGUGGCUAACAUGUCUUACAUACAGGCUUUAUUUAAUCUGUAAAAACACAGCGCUGUAGAGUGAUGAGGGUGUAAAAUUAAAGCAUAAUAAAGCUAACUGUCAGUUUUAGCUCAGUAGUCAUUGCUGAAUAAAUGUGCUCCAAUACAGUAGGUAUCAUACAUUUAUUUUGAACACUGCAAAAACUCAGAAUCCUACCAGUACUUACAGUUUAGACCAACUUAAAAAUAGCUUGACACAGAUGGAAACUAAAUUGAAACACGUAGGGAAAACAAGUAGCUUUCAAGUGAUGUGUGUUAUAAAGCGUAAUUACAUUUUUAGGAAAGAAAUAUGUUUGUUUUUUAUAUUGGCUGUUUUCAACAAUGUACAUCGAAAAUAAAGACACUGAUUGACUGAAAAUGGUUCAAUAUUGGAUUAAAUGUCUUUUUUUUCUCAUGUAUAUGUUUAAUUGUGCUUUAUCUAAAAAAAAAAAAUGUUUUAUCCGAUUACUCGAUUAAAUUUUCAGUCGAUUACUCGAUUACUAAAAUAUUCGAUAGCUGCAGCCCUAGUAUAUUUGUUCCAAAAUUGUUCAAAAAUCCUCUCGGGCUAAAUAAACCAAACUACUAUUUUAGUAUCAAGUUACCUGUUAAAAACAGUAAAUAAAAUACUCAAGUCCCCAUUCUGUAUCAGCAGCUUUAAACUACAUUCAAUUAAUUUAAUGUUGUGAAUCAACCGUUAAAGUUGUUAAAAUUGCCCCUGUUAUUCCAUAGUUUCCCUUAUGUCUACUUUCGACAUGUGAAAGUUUAGAACUGUUUCAUCAUUUAAAGAUAGAUUCAAGUCAAGAUUUUGCCGAUUUUGGGGUAUUUUAGAUAAAAAGUAAUUAGGUUCACUACAACAGAGCCUUUUAGAUAAGUCUACUGCUUCAAGAUGGCGCCUGUUUAGUAGCGCGGGAAAGUCUGUCAUUUCGCAUCUAGUUCUUGGUACAUGGUCAUACGCGGCCGUCGUCUGUCAUUUCACAUCUAGUUCCAAAUAUAUGUGAUAUCUACCAUAGCCGUAUGUUGCCGUAUGUUUGUAGCAACUAGCAACUGGGCGCUGUUUGUAGCGGCUGACGGCCGCAGUCGGGUAUUUUUUUUUUUUUUUUUUUUUUAUCUAGCGGCAUUAGCUUCACAUGAUAUUUACUCUCAGUCCGUUCCUCAUUGCGUCCCGAAGACCGCGCUGACUGUGUUUUAUUUCCGCUUUACCUGGUAUAAUUCAAUAAUCGGAAAUUGGAUGUUUGUGAAUCGUUCUCGAAUCUUCCACGGCCGAAUAGCGAAUAAUCUAAGAAUCGGAAAUUUUGCACGCCUCUACUAGUAAGGGUCAACAUUGUUCACAUCCUUAAGUUUGAUCACAUAUCUGUUCUUCGCCUUAGUAACGAGUUUGUCUCUUUAUCGAACUGGCAAGUUCAAAGUUUAAUGUCCCGCGAUCCAGACCUGCUUCCAAUAUGGCUGCGUUGUUGUCAAAUCUCACGUGAUCCCCCAUUCUGUGACGUAAACGCUCGAGCCUAAUAACGCACGUACUUCAGAGCCGUUUGUGUAUAUGUGAAUUGUCUCGCGCCUAUGUUUAUAUAUGUGUAUUUGUUGUUAAUUAAGUUUUUUUUUUUUUUUAAACUGCAGAGCCGGUGUUUUCACACACAAACCGGAACAGCGCGUGCGGCAAACACACAAACGCAAAACAGAUGCAGAGGGAUAUGAUGGCAGAGCAUGCAGAGGAAAAUUUGUCCUUCACGAGGUGGAGAUAUACACUAUACUAACACUAUUUCAUGUUGGUCGAAAUUAGGGCUGUCAAACGAUUAAAAUUUUUAAUCGAGUUAAUUACAGCUUAAAAAUUAUUCGUAUUUAAUCGCAAUUCAAACCAUAUAUAAAAUAUUUUUCUGUAAAUUAUUGUUGGAAUGGAAAGAUAAGACACAAGACGGAUAUAUACAUUCAACAUACGGUCCAUAAGUACUGUAUUAGUUUAUUAUAACAAUAAAUCAACAAGAUGGCAUUAACAUUAUUAACAUUCCCUCUAAGCGAACCAUGGAUAGAAAGACUUGUAUUUCUUAAUAGAUAAAUGUUAGUUCAAGUUAUAUAAAUUUUAUAUUAAAACCCCUCUUAAUGUUUUCGUUUUAUUAAAAUUUGUAAAAUUUUCAAUCAAAAAAUAUAGUAGCUCGCCAUUAUUGAUGUCAAUAAUUACACCAUGCUCACUCAUGGUGCUGAAAGCCAUAAUAUCAGUUGGACCCAAGCACAAAAAAACAAGUAACGAGUGGACAUUACACUCUACUGUCAUUUUAAUCUGUUUGAGCGGGGCAUGUGCGUUAAUUACGUCAAAUAUUCUAAUGUGAUUAAUUUUAAAAAUUAAUUACCGCCCGUUAACGCGAUAAUUUUGACAGCCCUAGUCGAAAUUAAAGGAAAGAAUCUGCAAGUAAAGUGUCAUUUAUGUCCCAGGGCAAAGCUUUUGUCGACAUCUGUGGUAAGCAAUUCAAAUCUGUUUAUUUUUGUUGCACUUCAAGUGUAGGAUAAAUCUGUUGCUGGUGAGGUGCAAUAAACAUUACAAGGUUCUAUAACACGACUACCUGUCUGUUCUUCUCUAUUCAACUGACUCGAAUACUGCUCAGAAAAUUUCAAAUUCUUUGACAUCCAACAACUUUUUUUUAAAGUAACGGAAAUAGUUACUUUUACUAUAGAGUAAUUCGGUUACUAACUCAGUUACUUUUUGGAAGAAAUAGUCAGUAACUAUAACUAAUUACUUUUUGAAAGUAACGUGCCCAAUACUGCUUACCGAAGCUGUCAUCUGCUAGCUCCUCUCCAAGGCUUUCCCCCACAGACACACCGGCGAUGCCCUUUUCCCCUUUCAUUGCCUGGUGGGUAAACAUAUAACCUAUUUAAUACAUGGUAGAAGACUAUUUUUCUUUUUAACCCGUCCCUCUUCGUUUCUCACCUCUCGGAAUUUCUGCAGGUACAGCUUUAACGGCUCCACGUACAUGUCGAAGCCCAGCGUGGACAUAGCGAACAGGAUGUCCUCACCGUUGAUGGUCUUGCGCUUCUCCUGGUGACAGCGUUCGCUGGCCUCGCUGGUGAUGAAGCUGAUGAACUCGCUGACGCACUCCUGCACGCACUCUUUGGCGUCUUUUGCAAUCUGCGGAAGGUGACGGUGUUGUUGCGGCGGGUUCUAAAUUUAAUGCCACUUGAGUGUAGGAACAAACCUUUCCAGUUUGCGGGACGGCGUUCUUCAUAAUGCGAGCUACGUUAGCGAUGGGGAGGUAGAUGUCCUGCUCCCGGUAGUUCUCCUUCGCGCCACUGUCAUCGUGGUCGUUCAUACCUUCGUCGGCAUCAUCUACAAGAUUGUUGUACCGUUAUUGCAUUUAAGCCAUAAAAGUGAUGCCAGCAUAUAAGCGCUCACCAUCCUGCUGCAACACAUAGUGCGAAGAUGGAAUGAACUCCCCUGUGAUGCCCAGCUGGGAGGCGUCGGUCGUGGCACCGUCUCCAUCCAUCUGAGGGAACCCAGAAAUGCACAUUUAUUAUUCACUGACUAAAUUAGCUACAACCUAGGGUUGUUCCGAUCAUGUUUUUUGCUCCCGAUCCGAUCGUUUUAGUUUGAGUAUCUGCCGAUAUUUCCCGAUCCGAUUGUUUGGUUUUUUUUUUGCUCCCGAUUCAAUUCCAAUCAUUCCCAAUAAUUUUUCUCGAUCAUAUACAUUUUGGCAAUGCAUUAAGAAAAAAAUGAAUAAAACUCGGACGAAUAUAUACAUUCAACAUACAGUACAUAAGUACUGUAUUUGUUUAUUAUGACUAUAAAUCCUCAA